AUGUUUUCCUCGCAGUCCAUGAGCCGUGCGAAUAACAUCAGAACGGCGCUCAUCAACGCGCAGAAGGGCAACCAGACGGUUGCCGCCUACUUCGCCUCUCUCCGUGGCCUCGCCGACGAGCUUGCCGCUGUGGGGAAGGCCAUCCAAGAUGACGAACUCAUCUCCUACAUCAUCCACGGCCUCGACGUCGACUACCAGCCCCUCGUGUCCGCCCUCGACGCACGCGUCACGCUGGUCUCCCUCGACAAGCUCUACGCCAUGCUCAGCAACUUCGACCAGCGCAUGGCCCAGUUUAAU
rnacentral:rRNA from 1 species